rnacentral:rRNA from 1 species
AGAGUUUGAUCCUGGCUCAGGACGAACGCUGGCGGCGUGCUUAACACAUGCAAGUCGAACGGAAAGGCCCUGCUUUUGUGGGGUGCUCGAGUGGCGAACGGGUGAGUAACACGUGAGUAACCUGCCCUUGACUUUGGGAUAACUUCAGGAAACUGGGGCUAAUACCGGAUAGGAGCUCCUGCUGCAUGGUGGGGGUUGGAAAGUUUCGGCGGUUGGGGAUGGACUCGCGGCUUAUCAGCUUGUUGGUGGGGUAGUGGCUUACCAAGGCUUUGACGGGUAGCCGGCCUGAGAGGGUGACCGGCCACAUUGGGACUGAGAUACGGCCCAGACUCCUACGGGAGGCAGCAGUGGGGAAUAUUGCACAAUGGGCGGAAGCCUGAUGCAGCAACGCCGCGUGCGGGAUGACGGCCUUCGGGUUGUAAACCGCUUUCGCCUGUGACGAAGCGUGAGUGACGGUAAUGGGUAAAGAAGCACCGGCUAACUACGUGCCAGCAGCCGCGGUGAUACGUAGGGUGCGAGCGUUGUCCGGAUUUAUUGGGCGUAAAGGGCUCGUAGGUGGUUGAUCGCGUCGGAAGUGUAAUCUUGGGGCUUAACCCUGAGCGUGCUUUCGAUACGGGUUGACUUGAGGAAGGUAGGGGAGAAUGGAAUUCCUGGUGGAGCGGUGGAAUGCGCAGAUAUCAGGAGGAACACCAGUGGCGAAGGCGGUUCUCUGGGCCUUUCCUGACGCUGAGGAGCGAAAGCGUGGGGAGCGAACAGGCUUAGAUACCCUGGUAGUCCACGCUGUAAACGGUGGGUACUAGGUGUGGGGUCCAUUCCACGGGUUCCGUGCCGUAGCUAACGCUUUAAGUACCCCGCCUGGGGAGUACGGCCGCAAGGCUAAAACUCAAAGGAAUUGACGGGGCCCCGCACAAGCGGCGGAGCAUGCGGAUUAAUUCGAUGCAACGCGUAGAACCUUACCUGGGUUUGACAUGGAUCGGGAGUGCUCAGAGAUGGGUGUGCCUCUUUUGGGGUCGGUUCACAGGUGGUGCAUGGCUGUCGUCAGCUCGUGUCGUGAGAUGUUGGGUUAAGUCCCGCAACGAGCGCAACCCUUGUUCACUGUUGCCAGCACGUUAUGGUGGGGACUCAGUGGAGACCGCCGGGGUCAACUCGGAGGAAGGUGGGGAUGACGUCAAGUCAUCAUGCCCCUUAUGUCCAGGGCUUCACGCAUGCUACAAUGGCUGGUACAGAGAGUGGCGAGCCUGUGAGGG